rnacentral:rRNA from 1 species
UCGGGUGACAGGGAGACAGGUGGUGCAUGGUGUCGUCAGCCCGUGUCGUGAGAUGUUGGGUUAAGUCCCGCAGCGAGCGCAACCCCUACGUUUAGUUGCUAACGCGUGAAGGCGAGCACUCUAGACGAACUGCCGUUGACAAACGGAGGAAGUGGGGAUGACGUCAAAUCACCAUGCCCCUUAUGUUCUGGGCUACACACGUGCUACAAUGGCCGGUACAGACGGACGCAAAGCCGCGAGGUGGAGCAAAUCCUAAAAAGCCGGUCUCAGUUCGGAUUGCAGGCUGCAAUUCGCCUGCAUGAAGUCGGAAUCGCUAGUAAUCGCAGGUUAGCAUACUGCGGUGAAUACGUUCCCGGGCCUU